rnacentral:rRNA from 1 species
GACGAACGCUGGCGGCGUGCCUAAUACAUGCAAGUGGGACGCAAGGGAACACACUGUGCUUGCACACCGUGUUUUCUUGAGUCGCGAACGGGUGAGUAACGCGUAGGUAACCUGCCUAUUAGCGGGGGAUAACUAUUGAAAACGAUAGCUAAUACCGCAUAAUAUUAAUUAUUGCAUGAUAAUUGAUUGAAAGAUGCAAGCGCAUCACUAGUAGAUGGACCUGCGUUGUAUUAGCUAGUUGGUAAGGUAAGAGCUUACCAAGGCGACGAUACAUAGCCGACCUGAGAGGGUGAUCGGCCACACUGGGACUGAGACACGGCCCAGACUCCUACGGGAGGCAGCAGUAGGGAAUCUUCGGCAAUGGACGAAAGUCUGACCGAGCAACGCCGCGUGAGUGAAGAAGGUUUUCGGAUCGUAAAGCUCUGUUGUAAGUCAAGAACGUGUGUGAG